CUCUUGCCACAAGGUCAAAGUCUGGGGUCAGCUUUGGAGGCUGUGGUGGGAGCUGAAGAACAGACUGCAACACGAACCCUCCAGAGGUUACUUUCAGGAUGGUUGCUCCGCUCUGCAACAGGAAGAUGAAGGCGGGCGGGGUUGCUCCGCACCAACAGUCCCGCCCACAACUCAGAGGUGAAUUAUUAAUGAACUACUGUCACUCUGCAGAAACUAUGUCCUAGAAAACCUUUUUUUUUUUUUCUUUUACAUUUAGGCUAAACAUGACAUAAUCGCAAUUAAAAGACCACUAGGAACACUUUAAGAUCAAAGUGGGACUUUAAACACCUAGCAUUAAAGUUAUUAAUUUCAUUUAUUUGGCACGUUCAAAUUCUAAACACAACCUUCCAAAUGUAAUUUGACAAAAAAAAAAAACACGUCUUCCAUCUGUUGCUAGUAAAAAAAAAA